CAGUCGCCACGGUAAUACGAGGGGGGCAAGCGUUGUUCGGAAUUAUUGGGCGUAAAGGGUGCGUAGGCGGCUUGACAAGUCUUGUGUGAAAUCUAUGGGCUCAACCCAUAGUCUGCACGGGAAACUGUCGGGCUUGGGAAUGGGAGAGGUGAGUGGAAUUUCCGGUGUAGCGGUGAAAUGCGUAGAUAUCGGAAGGAACACCUGUGGCGAAAGCGGCUCACUGGACCAUUUCUGACGCUGAUGCACGAAAGCUAGGGGAGCAAACAGGAUUAGAUACCCGCGUAGUCCCUGUCUCUUAUAC
rnacentral:rRNA from 1 species